rnacentral:lncRNA from 1 species
GGCAUUUGUGGUUACAAUUCAAUUUUGAUCUGUUCUAUAAUUUAACUCACAAUAAAGCUAAGUUAUAAUUUUUCUCUUAUAACUAUUUUGGCAUUCUACAAGGUUAAAUUACUCAUUUGGGGAUGACUUAUGUCAAAUAGAAGGAUUAUUUUUAAUCAGGUUUCAGAAAUUUAAAAAUAUUGUGAUUCUGUUCUGAGUCAAACAUUGAAGGUUUGCUCUGUGAGUGGCAGAUAAUUUCUUUUCCCUCAGCAUAGCAGAGGGUACGGUCAUAAUCCGAGGGAUGGUGCCGUUGUGUUGGUGCUGUCAUCUUGCCUUGCUCCAGAUAGUUCAUGGGAACAAGGGCUUUGGAAUGACCCAUACUGCAUCUUUGGUAUGAACUGUAGAAUCUGUGGAUCAAAUCACAGGUUUUAGCUAACAGAGACACAAGCUACAAAAGUAACUCCUGUCCUCUAAAAUUGAACCAUAAUCUGUUUAUGCGGGCUUCUGAGAUGUUUCUUUAAAAGAGGUUUUGGCCAUCUGUUUUCAAACGGCUUGACUUCUUAAAAAAGUCAAAACAACAAAGAAUCCUUUAUUAAAGAGAAGAUUUCUCAAAAUGAUGUGUCCAGUCAUGUGAAGAUUUCUUAUGAAAGGACUUAAGUUAUUUUCCCAAACCAUUUUCAAGGAUUGACUGUAAUGUCAUUCAAAAUAUAUCACUGAACAGGAAGAAAGUUGGGAAAAUUCUUUAUCUAUUUUCAUCUUUGUUUUCAAAAACCUAGCCAGAUUGGAGGAAAAGGAAUUACUAUUUUACAUGUUUAUAGAAA